rnacentral:rRNA from 1 species
UACGAAGGGGGCUAGCGUUGCUCGGAAUCACUGGGCGUAAAGCGCACGUAGGCGGAUUGCUAAGUCAGGGGUGAAGUCCUGGAGCUCAACUCCAGAACUGCCUUUGAUACUGGCGAUCUCGAGUCCGGGAGAGGUGAGUGGAACUGCGAGUGUAGAGGUGAAAUUCGUAGAUAUUCGCAAGAACACCAGUGGCGAAGGCGGCUCACUGGCCCGGUACUGACGCUGAGGUGCGAAAGCGUGGGGAGCAAACAGG